rnacentral:rRNA from 1 species
AGCAGCCGCGGUAAUUCCAGCUCCAAUAGCGUAUAUUAAAGUUGCUGCAGUUAAAAAGCUCGUAGUUGAAUUUCGGGACCAUCAUGUCGGUCGUGCCUAGGUACGUACUGGUAUUGUUGGUUUCUCCCUCCUGACGAACCAUGAUGUCAUUUAUUUGGUGUUGUGGGGAAUCAGGACUGUUACUUUGAAAAAUUGAGUGUUUAAAGCAGGCUCACGCUUGAAUACAUUAGCAUGGAAUAAUGAAAUAGGACGUUUGAUUCUAUUUGUUGGUUUCUAGGAUCGACGUAAUGAUUAAUAGGGAUAGUUGGGGCAUUAGUAUUCAAUUGUCAGAGGUGAAAUUCUUGGAUUUAUUGAAGACUAACUACUGCGAAAGCAUUUGCCAAGGAUGUUUCAUUAAUCAAGAACGAAAGUUAGGGAUCGAAGACGAUCAGAUACCGUCGUAGUCUUAACCAUAAACUAUGCCGAUUAGGAUCGGAUGA